AAAUCGCAGGGUUCGCGAAUUUCGCGAUAAGAACAAACACCAACCUACUCCCCCGCCCCCCGCUGAGCGAUGCCGUCUUGAUCGCCCCCUCCCAACCCCGGGAAAAGGGACACUACCUUUCUAUAUCAGUUGAAGAAAGGAUGAUGAAGCGUUAACAACGACAAUAACGGCCUUUUCGAACGAGUUGUCUUAUGGCCUCUGAGAUUUGCGCGCGAACCUGGGAGGCCAUAAUUGGCCGCUUAAUAGCAUAAAAAGACAAAGAUAAUGCCAAACGACACAACUAAAAAUUCAAACAAAGAACUGAUCUUAGCUAUACUGUUUGGGGAAAAGAAAUAAAAAAUUAGACAGCCGCAACACACGCCACUAAAGCCACCACCGCCGGCAUAACGCGGAAUCAACGGUUGGCAACAUUCAUUCGCGCGUCAUUGCUUCGUCCGCUUCGUCUCCGCAACGGCCACAACGAGAGCCGCCAUCUUCUCGCGCCUAACGUUUUGUAUGGUUUUGUUCUCUGCAAUCCGCGCACACAGCUCAUCGGUGGCUGCACGUCUGCUCGGCGUCGCAAUGCAACCUGCGUCAUUUUCUGGUGCUCGCGCAAUCGGUGUGAAACAUGUCGCAUGUGAAAUGUUUGAUAGAAGUGCCUCACGUCCAAGUCAAGCCGCCGUACGGGUGUAUGGCUGUGCGCCCCGUUCUCGGAAGCGUCGACGGGUUUCCGGCAUGCGGAUUUCAGCGUUUGGACUCGACUUUUGGUGAGGAUGUCGAUCGACCUUGGGCCUGGUGACAGCACACCCGACAUCGCCAAAGUGCAGCCUAUCAGUAGAGUGCCCCCGAAUGGACCAUCAACAUCGGAAAAUGAAGCAGAGCCAGGGGGAAAAGGUUCCGGUAACACCAUGCAUUCAGUAUGGUGGCCCAGAUGUGCAUGCAAGCAACCUCCUUCAUGUGGACCAAGAACUACUCUGCAGUGUCUCGCAGACUUCCAUGCGAAGCCCUCAACAUUCUCGUCUCAGUGGAAUGGCUGCUCAUCUAUCUGCGUGUCCAUCACCAAGACGGCCAGUUGUAAAGCUCCUGUACCCGUUUAAGAAAGCUUAAUGAUUGUUUUA